rnacentral:misc_RNA from 1 species
UCCGAAUAUCCUAAAAUGAAAGUAGGUGGUCUGUACGUUAAGUAUAGCAACAAUUGUGAAUCACUGCUACAGUAAGGAUCUUGGAGAAUAAGAAUGCAAGAACAGUCGCAUGUGGAUGAUGUUGCCAUGGUUACUGGAUGGAAUAUGGAUGUGGAUCCUGUCGUCUUUGGUGGGGAUUGUGGGAUUUGUUGUCUACACACUGGUAUCAAGCUCUGGCAGCGAUUUCUCCGACAACAGCAUAGACGCAUUCAUCAUACAGGAAGGUUCAAAAUCCAAGAAAGAGAAUGUGGACCAAUCUAUGGAUAACCGUCACUUGCGGUCGUAUGGUACGGAAGGAAAACAAGUGUUGAUCUUGUAUGGGACAGAAUAUGGAUUCAGUGAAGAAGUAGCUACUGUAUUGUUUGAUAAGAUUUCCUCUAUCGUACAGUCAGAUGAUGUUGGUCCUCUACAACCUCGGCUGGUCAACUGUAAACUUUACGAGUGUGUGGAGUUGUCCAGGGAACAGAUAUGUUUUGUUGUCAUAUCUACAAGUGGAGAUGGCGUCCCUCCCACUGAUGCACGUGGUUUCUAUGACAACCUGAUGUCAUGUGAUGAGGAGUUAUCUCACCUUCGGUUUUCUGUUCUGGCUCUGGGUGACUCCAACUAUCCACAUUUCUGUAAGACAGGACGUGACGUAAAUACAAGACUUUCCAAACGUCGAGCUGACCCAGUUGUAGGGUGCCAGGAUGUAGACGUGGAGGACUGGGCUGUCAUCAACUGCUGGAUGGACAGUGUUGUAGAAUAUCUGAAGUCAUGUGACCUCUGUGUGUGUAUGGACUAUUUACAAAUUACUGCCGACCAGUCAUCGGAAGGACAUGAUAGACAUAAUCCAUUUAUGGCUGUCUUGCAGGUGAAGGAUCUGUUGACAGACGCCCAACAAUGUAAUGAUGACAAGGAGGUCGUCCACUGCGAGUUUAACAUCAGUGGUAGUCACAUGACAUGGACAUCAGGUGAUGCUCUCGGGAUAUACCCAGAGAACAAUCCUGACCAUGUGUCAGCCAUAUUGGAUACAUUGACAUGGCGGGAGACGGAGAUGUUUCCUGUACCAAACGGGGCCUAUCACCCACAUAAUGAUACAGCAAGUAUAAGAACUCUGCUGCUCAAAUAUUAUGACAUCAAAACCAUCAAGCCAGAACUUCUACAGACUUUACAGACUGUGGUCACAAACACAAACCAGAGGGAGACGUUGUCACGGCUACUACAGGCAGGGACUGGGAAGUCUAAUAAAGCCCUGCAGGAGUAUGUGGCAGUGAGAGAAGUGAGAGAUGUCCUUCAGGAAUAUAAACCAGCUGUGUUGUCUCCACGGCAACUACUGCCCUGCCUAAAACCACUCCAACCAAGAUAUUACUCCAUAUCAUCUUCCCCUUUAAAGGCCUCUACCGCUGUCUGUGUGACGGUAGCCGUUCUGCGUUACAAGACCCUGUCGGUAGGGCGGGAGGGUGUAACCACCUCACACCUACUAGACCGUACGCAGGUCGGUCAAUCAAGCCCGGUGUUCAUGAGCCGGAACCCCGACUUCCGCCUCCCUGACAAACACACCACACCGGUGAUUCUGAUUGGCCCAGGUACAGGGAUAGCCCCCUUCAGAGCAUUCAUACAAGAAAGAGAACUCAGUCCUGACAAAGGGGAGAUCCACCUGUAUUUUGGCUGCAGACAUAAGUCUGGGGAUUUCUUAUACAAAGAGGAGCUGGAGAAAUACAGCAGAGAUGGCCUGAUUUGUCUUCGAGUGGCAUUCUCCCGGGACCAGGCCAGGAAGGUAUAUGUUCAGGACCUUCUGAGAGAGGAUAGGGCCAAAGUCUGGGACCUGGUUACCAAGAGAAAUGGCCACCUGUAUGUGUGUGGUGAUGCCAGACACAUGGCCAAAGAUGUCCAUCAAGGCUUGACCGAUAUUGUCCAGUCCUGUGGUCAGUUGGAAAGACUUGAGGCUAAUGAGUACCUCAGGCUGUUAGAGAUACAGGGACGUUAUCAAAAAGAUGUCUGGGUCACUUAGUCUAGAGAGAUAGGGGCUACAGUCUAACACAGGCCGUUAGAGGUACAGGGACGUUAUCAAAAAGAUGUCUGGGUCACAAAGUCCAGAGAGAGAUGGGGGCUUCAGACUAACAUGGGCAGAUAUAGAUACAGGGACGUCAUUAACAAAAUGUCUGGGUCACUUAGUCUAGAGAGAUAGGGGCUACAGUCUAACACAGGCAGUAAGAGAUACAGGGACGUUAUCAGAAAGAUAUCUGGGUCACUAAGUCUAGAGAGAUAUAGGCUACAGUCUAACACAGGCAGUUAGAAAUACAGGGACCUUAUUAACAAGAUAUCUGGGUCACUUAGUCUAGAGAGAUAGGGGCUACAGAGUAACACAGGUAGAUAAAGACACAGGGACAUUAUCAGAAAGAUGUCUGGGCCACUUAGUCUAGAGAGAUGGGGGCUACAGUCUAACACAGGCAGUUAGAGAUACAGGGACGUCAUUAACAAGGUAUCUGGGUCACUUAGUCUAGAGAGAUAGGGCUACAGUCUAACACAGGCAGUUAGAAAUACAGGGACGUCAUUAACAAGGUAUCUGGGUCACUUAGUCUAGAGAGAUAGGGGCUACAGUCUAACACAGGCAGUAAGAGAUACAGGGAUGUUAUCAGAAAGAUAUCUGGGUCAAUUAGUCUAGAGAGAUAUGGUCUACAGUCUAACACAUGCCGUUAGAGAUACAGGGACGUUAUCAAAAAGAUGUCUGGGUCACUUAGUCUAGAGGGAUAAAGGCUUCAGAGUAACACAGGUAGAUAAAGACACAGUGACAUUAUCAGAAAAAUGUCUGGGUCACUAAGUCUAGAGAGAUAAAGGCUACAGUCUAACACAGGUAAAUAAAGACACAAGGACAUUAUCAGAAAGAUGUCUGGGUCACUUAGUCUAGAGAGAUAAAGGCUACAGAGUAACACAGGUAAAUAAAGACACAGGGACCUUAUCAGAAAGAUGUCUGGGCCACUUAGUCUAGGGAGAUAAAGGCUACAGAGUAACACAGGUAAAUAAAGACACAAGGACAUUAUCAGAAAGAUGUCUGGGUCACUUAGUCUAGAGAGAUAAAGGCUACAGAGUAGCACAGGUAGAUAAAGACACAGUGACAUUAUCAGAAAAAUGUCUGGGUCACUAAGUCUAGAGAGAUAAAGGCUACAGUCUAACACAGGCAGUUAGAGAUACAGGGACGUCAUUAACAAGAUGUCUGGGUCACUUAGUCUAGAAAGAUAGGGGCUACAGUCUAACACAGACAGUUAGAAAUACAGAGACGUUAUCAACAAGAUAGCUGGGUCACUUAGUCUAGAGAGAUAGGGGCUACAGUCUAACACAGGCAGUUAGAAAUACAGGGACGUUAUCAACAAGAUAUCUGGGUCACUAAGUCUAGCUCUAGAGAUAGGGGCUACAGUCUAACACAGGCAGUUGCCCUGGUUACCUCUGCCACCUGACAUUUUGGAUUGUGUGAUACUUUUAUUGUGUUAUCUCAUUUGUUA